rnacentral:rRNA from 1 species
GACGAACGCUGGCGGCGUGCUUAACACAUGCAAGUCGAACGGAAAGGCCCUGCUUUUGUGGGGUGCUCGAGUGGCGAACGGGUGAGUAACACGUGAGUAACCUGCCCUUGACUUUGGGAUAACUUCAGGAAACUGGGGCUAAUACCGGAUAGGAGCUCCUGCUGCAUGGUGGGGGUUGGAAAGUUUCGGCGGUUGGGGAUGGACUCGCGGCUUAUCAGCUUGUUGGUGGGGUAGUGGCUUACCAAGGCUUUGACGGGUAGCCGGCCUGGGAGGGUGACCGGCCACAUUGGGACUGAGAUACGGCCCAGACUCCUACGGGAGGCAGCAGUGGGGAAUAGUGCACAGUGGGCGGAAGGCUGAUGCAGCAACGCCGCGUGCGGGAUGACGGCCUUCGGGUUGUAAACCGCUUGCGCCUGUGACGAAGCGUGAGUGACGGUAAUGGGUAAAGAAGCACCGGCUAACUACGUG